GACGAACGCUGGCGGCGUGCUUAACACAUGCAAGUCGAACGGAAAGGCCCUGCUUUUGUGGGUUGCUCGAGUGGCGAACGGGUGUGUAACACGUGAGUAACCUGCCCUUGACUUUGGGAUAACUUCAGGAAACUGGGGCUAAUACCGGAUAUGAUCUCCUGCUGCAUGUUGGGGGUUGGUAAGUUUCGGCGGUUGGGUAUGGACUCGCGGCUUAUCAGCUUGUUGGUGGGGUAGUGGCUUACCCAGGCUUUGACGGGUAGCCGGCCUGGGAGGGUGAACGGCCACAUGGGGACUGAGAGACGGCCCAGAAGCCUACGGGAGGCAGCAGGGGGGAAUAUUGCACAAUGGGCGGAAGCCUGAUGCAGCAACGCCGCGAGCGGGAUGACGGCCUUCGGGUUGUAAACCGCUUUCGCCUGUGACGAAGAGUGAGUGACGGUAAUGGGUAAAGAAGCAACGGCUAACUACGUG
rnacentral:rRNA from 1 species